UCGUAUUUGGAUGGCUUGAGUGAAAUGAAUGAAACUAUAUUUUUUUUAAUUGCCAUGCAAAAAUUAUAAAUACUACCACUAAUUGUUUUAAAUAAUUUUGUUCCUACAAUAUAUUUUGUUGGAAUUAGUGUCGAUAGCAAGUAUCAAGAAACAGCUUUUUAAUUCAACGUUGAAGAAAUUCAUAACCUGUGGCACUUUUGACAGCCGCCAUGUUUUCUCCAUAAAAACAUUGAUUUUCUUUGCUCAUUUUCGUGUCAACGUAGUUUUUUUGGAAAAUAAGAAGAAAGGAAGUUUAACUUACUUAGAGAAAUACGACUGAGACAUAAACACAAGCAGCAGCCGAUGUGCUUGAGUAGCAGAAGGAGCAACUGCGUUGUGAGAGGGCCACGGCUUCAGCCCUCACAAUGAUAGCUGAAGCAAUGAACAGACAGGCUGCAGUCAAUGAGAGGCUUCUUGAGGAGGUGUUCCUCAUAUGGAAAUGAUUUUAGCGGCGACGCAGUUGCGCGACCAGUGAAGCUCUGGCUCCGCGACCGGCGUGGAGCGCGCGGUCAGCGCGGCGCUGCUGCGGCUGCUGCGCGGGAGG